rnacentral:tRNA from 1 species
AGCUCAGUAGUGCAGAGCAACUGACUUUUGUAAUCAGUAGGUCACCAGUUCGAUUUCGGUAAGCACCA